CCUACGGGUGGCAGCAGUGGGGGAUAUUGCACAAUGGGGGAAACCCUGAUGCAGCGACGCCGCGUGGGUGAAGAAGUAUUUCGGUAUGUAAAGCCCUAUCAGCAGGGAAGAAAGAAGACGGUACCUGACUAAGAAGCCCCGGCUAACUACGUGCCAGCAGCCGCGGUAAUACGUAGGGGGCGAGCGUUAUCCGGAUUCACUGGGUGUAAGGGGAGCGUAGACGGCCGUGCAAGCCAGGAGUGAAAGCCCGGGGCCCAACCCCGGGACUGCUCUUGGAACUGUGCGGCUAGAGUGCGGGAGGGGCAGGCGGAAUUCCUGGUGUAGCGGUGAAAUGCGUAGAUAUCAGGAGGAACACCGGCGGCGAAGGCGACCUGCUGGAACAUUACUGACGCUGAUGCACGAAAGCGUGGGGAGCAAACAGGAUUAGAUACCCGAGUAGUC
rnacentral:rRNA from 1 species